rnacentral:rRNA from 1 species
GGGCCCGCACAAGCGGUGGAGUAUGUGGUUUAAUUCGAUGCAACGCGAAGAACCUUACCAGGGUUUGACAUCCUGCGAAUCUCUUGGAAACAGGAGAGUGCCUUCGGGAACGCAGUGACAGGUGGUGCAUGGCUGUCGUCAGCUCGUGUCGUGAGAUGUUGGGUUAAGUCCCGCAACGAGCGCAACCCACGUCUUUAGUUGCCAGCAUUUAGUUGGGCACUCUAGCGAGACUGCCGGUGAUAAGCCGGAGGAAGGCGGGGAUGACGUCAAGUCCUCAUGGCCCUUAUGGGCUGGGCUACACACGUGCUACAAUGGGGAAUACAGACGGACGCUAAGCCGCGAGGUGGUGCUAAUCCUAGAAAGUUUCUCGUAGUCCGGAUUGGAGUCUGCAACUCGACUCCUUGAAGUUGGAGUCGCUAGUAAUCGC